GGCAGAAAGCCGGGAGGAAAGUUAGAAUGACUUAUUUCGAUGCUUGUCAGGAAAAUAAAAAGACUAGCUUGAACGAUGGAAGGGAACUAGGAUUCGCAAUUCGAGGCCAGUUUAUUUAUCAAAAAUGCUGAAGUGAUGCCGUUUUGCACGGCGUCGAUUGGAUUUGAAUGUACCCACUUUUAUUUAUAGUUUUGUAUUUCCUCAUUGGGUAAUUUUAUGAUUCAUGAUCAUAGAAAAAUUGCACCUUGGGAAAAAUCGCAGUUCCUGUGUUUUGAAGAUUCUUGUGGAGGAUUAAGAGGUUUUAUUGCUGCUUUGGCACAACAGCCACACGGACGUGGAUCUGUAAACUCCAGGCUGGUCUGAAUCCCUCCUGCAGGGUCACAUGGUGGAGAUCUUCGAACCAGCCGCAAACUGUGAAUGUCAGAGUGCUGCAGGAUCACGGGGGUCCCCAUCACGUCUAUACAGCCCAGAAGCCCUCGUCCCCUGCCUGAGGCUGCGUUUUCCGCCGGUUAGUGCGAUCACUCGCACGCUCCGGGUUUUCCCGUUAAUGCUCUGGGCUUGGCGAGACGCCCGGGCGGCUGAUCGCGGGUCCCAGAAGGGCUGCUGAGGGUUGGCGUGUUGCUGUGUGUGGAUUCUGUGAUGUGAGCACGCUCCUCAUUUGGCGAGGUGCCGGUGAAGAUGUCUAAGCUGCAGGCCCCCAUGGGGAGAGAUCUGGGUCAAAGGCCUUCACCAGCCGCACAGCCGAAGCAAACAUCAGGACCUGGAUCUUCUUCAACAUGCUCACCAUGUCCCUCUAAUUAAUUUGUAAAUUUCUUCCAUUUUUAAAAAUUUGGAAAUGCAAGUUUUUUUACUUCUGUUCUUUGCCCUAGUAAAGGGGAGACUACACUUCCCUACAAGGAAUGUAGAAAAAUAACACCCUGGAAAAGAGAUCUCGGAAUCUCAGUUAUGCAGGAAUAUUACUGCAUUCAUUCGAACAACUGACCCCAUUCAACAAUUGUCCCUGGUCUCAUCCUACCCGUUAGUGUAGAUCUUGGAAUACAAUAAGUGUAUUGUUUAUUUAUCUUUUUUUGUAAAAUGUCUAAUUUGAACAGUAACUCUGGCUAUAUCCAAAGAGUCAUGCUUCUCUUGCUAGGAUUCCAGAAUGUUCCAAAACCUGGAGCAACGUGGAACUAUUGUGCUGAAAUACUAUUUAGGUUUAAAAAACCUUUCAGGGGUGGUGUGGGGGUGCAGUGGUUAGCACUGUUGCCUCACACCUCUGAGAUCUGGGUCUGAGUCUCUGCUUGGGUUCCAUGUGUGUGGAGUUUGCAUCUUCUCCCUGUGUUGUCAUGGGGUUUACUCUGGGUUCUCUGCCCCGCCCCCCCACAGUCCAAAAACAUUAUGAGGCUGAUUGUUUGUAGGUAUACUUGAGUGAGUGAAUGGUGUAUGAGUGUGAAAUGUGAUUGGUUGGUGCCUCAUCCUGGGAUGUCUGCCUGCCAUAAGCUCCAGACCCCCCACAACCUUGAACAGGAUAAGCACUUAUACAAAAAUGGA